ACUCCAUUGUUGUAGGCCAAACAUCAGACAGAACAUCAUGACAAAAGGGCAUCACAGAGAACUGAUCAUGGCAGCCAGGAAGCAAAGAGAGAAGUAGGAAGGGACACCAGGGAAGAUGAACCCCUCCAGAAAAAGCCCCCUAUGACCCACUCCUUUAGCCAUACCCUACCUGCCUACAGUUAACCACCUAGUUAGUCCUUUCAUAUUAUUGGUCCGGUCUAACGGAUGAUACAUGGAUUUGGUCACAGCUCUUGUAAUCUAAUCAUUUAACCUCCUGUAUUAACAGAAGUUUUGGGGGGAACAUCACAUGUCAUUACUGUAACACCAAUGUUAUUUAGCUAGGAACAGGGGUGCACUUAAGUGUCCCAGAUCUCAUCUCUUUUGAAUUCUCUGAAACUGUAAUUGCCUCUAGGGACAAGAAGCAAUGAAAAAUCAGUAAAGAUCUCCACCACCAACACCUUACUCUUGGAAUCACAAUUCCUCUUGGCAGAGAGAAGAGUUCAACUCUGAGUUUUAGAUGUCUGCCUGGCCCCUCCUGUCAUUCCUUCCAUUGCCACUGUGGAUUUGCCAGUGAACUGGUGUGGGUGACAAUGAGAAAACAGAAGCAAAGAAACCCUGAGGCGGCGUUGUGGCUCAGUGGUGGAGUGCUGGCCUAGCAUGCGUGAGGCACUAGGUUUGACCCCUGGCACCACAUAAAAUAAACGUAUU
rnacentral:lncRNA from 1 species